AGAUUCUGACCUCUCUCUUUUCCAGGGGAAAAAAACACAAGCUCAGCUGAAGUCAAUGGAGCUGCUCUGCUUUGACCCGGGUGUAAGGAGGAUAAGCAGGAUCCUCAUCUGCCUUCAGCAAUGCAGUUCCUGUCAUAGCGCUGAAGCAAUAAGACAUGACAGGCAAUGCCCCAUGCCUCCAAACUGAGAGGCUGUAAUGACAUCCCGAGGACUUCCCUUAAGGUGGAGGAUAGGCUGGACCACCUUUAGAGAGACACUGGGGAAGGAGACGCUUAUCAAAGCUGGUGACAACUUUUAGCAUGCAUAGGUGCCAAGUGUGUUGAUCAUAUUAGAAGAGGAUAAACGCAACCUGAUAAGGACAACUGCGAUGUUCUGCAUGUUGGUGAGAAUAAUCAAUUGCAAAGGAAUGGAGUGCAGAGCCAGCAGAGCGAGCAGCAGUUGGCUGAAAAGGUAUUGGGGCUGGAGUGGACUGCAUGCUCAAGGCCAGCAGUGUCAUGCAGCUCUUCAUAACAAAAAAAAAAAAAGAGUAAAAAAAGGCAAACAUCAUACUGGGAUAGAUCAGUGAAAGUGUGGUCUGUAAGAUGCGAGAUCAUCCUACUAUUCCACUCAGCAUGAGUAAGACCACAGCUGGGGUGCUAUAUCGAUCCUGGGCUAUGCACUUGAGGACAGUUGUGGUCAGCUUAAGAGGUGAAGAACAGGGAUGACUCAGAAAGAGAAGUGACAAUGAAAAGUUGAAGGAACAUCUGAAGAAAUGACUGACAGAGGCAGUGACAAAUCUGUAAAUAGCUGCUAUGAAGAUGAAAAGAGACUAAUCUUAAUGACAAUUGCAGGAAAGGUAGUGGUGGGCCUAAAUAGUAGAAACAUAUAGCUUGGAAAUUAGAAGAAUUGCCAAUAGGAAUAAUGGAGGCACAAUGGAAUGAGCUGUCUGAGGUUGCCCCACUAGAUGUAUUUAAGAACAGGUUAAAACAUGUUAGUUAGACAUUGCAUGGGUUUGCCUCCAAGCAAGACUGGGAGACCUCCUAAAAGGUCACUUGUUCCUAUUUUUUUAAGCUUCAGUUCUUGGCUGUAAUUGUACUGUUUU